UACGGAGGGUGCGAGCGUUAAUCGGAAUUACUGGGCGUAAAGGGUUCGUAGGUGGUUAGAUAAGUCAGAUGUGAAAGCCCUGGGCUCAACCUGGGAGUUGCAUAUGAAACUGUUUGACUAGAGUUUGGUAGAGGAUUGGGGAAUUUCCGGUGUAGCGGUGAAAUGCGUAGAUAUUGGAAAGAACAUCGAUGGCGAAGGCAACAAUCUGGACUUGAACUGACACUGAGGGACGAAAGCGUGGGUAGCAACA
rnacentral:rRNA from 1 species